rnacentral:lncRNA from 1 species
GGCUCUGCUGCCAUCAGGAGGUACUGCCAGCGCCGGUCAGGGGGCUCAAUCCUUUGCUCAUAUGCUGACAUGAACCGAUGGCGAGGCAUAAUGCUUUCUGCAAUCUCUGGGUAAUCAAUCUGGAAGAGAAGGCUCUGCUGGCCUGUCUCUGGAUCUCUCUGUUUGGUCACUUUAUAACCUGGUCGUCCAAUUUUCACAAACUUCUUCACUUCCACUUUGACUUUUUCUGGUGCAGGUUGGGCAGGGGCUUCCUUUGCUUCCUUGGCAGCUCGACGGGCCAGAUUGGUCUGAUGCUUCUUCCCCUGGGUAUGUGCUAAGUAACUU